UGAGGAAUAUUGGGCAAUGCCCGUAAGGGUGACCCAGCAACGCCGCGUGGAGGAUGAAUGUCGUAAGAUUGUAAACUCCUGUGAGAGGGGACGAAAACCUACAUUUCGUAAGGGAUGUAGAUUGACUGUACCCUCAGAGGAAGCCCCGGCUAACUACGUGCCAGCAGCCGCGGUAAUACGUAGGGGGCUAGCGUUGUCCGGAUUUACUGGGUGUAAAGGGCGCGUAGGCGGGUUGGUAAGUUAGAGGUGAAAUCCUGCAGCUCAACUGCAGAACUGCCCCUAAUACUGCCAAUCUUGAGUUCAGAAGAGAGAAGCGGAAUUCCAGGUGUAGUGGUGAAAUACGUAGAUAUCUGGAAGAACACCAGUUGCGUAGGCGGCUUCUUGGUCUGAUACUGACGCU
rnacentral:rRNA from 1 species